rnacentral:rRNA from 1 species
AACGAACGCUGGCGGCAUGCCUAACACAUGCAAGUCGAACGAGACCUUCGGGUCUAGUGGCGCACGGGUGCGUAACGCGUGGGAACCUGCCCUUAGGUUCGGAAUAACUCCCCGAAAGGGGUGCUAAUACCGGAUAAUGUCUUCGGACCAAAGAUUUAUCGCCUUUGGAUGGGCCCGCGUUGGAUUAGCUAGUUGGUAGGGUAAAAGCCUACCAAGGCGACGAUCCAUAGCUGGUCUGAGAGGAUGAUCAGCCACACUGGGACUGGGACACGGCCCAGACUCCUAAGGGAGGGAGCAGGGGGGAAUAUGGGACAAUGGGCGAAAGACGGAUCCAGCAAGGCCGCGUGAGUGAUGAAGGCCUUAGGAUUGUAAGGCUCUUUUACCCGGGAUGAUAAUGACAGUACCGGGGGAAUAAGCUCCGGCUAACUCCGU